rnacentral:rRNA from 1 species
UGGGGAAUCUUCCGCAAUGGACGAAAGUCUGACGGAGCAACGCCGCGUGUAUGAUGAAGGUCUUCGGAUUGUAAAGUACUGUCAUUGGGGAAGAACGGUUUUCUUGAAAAGAUUGAGAAGACAUGACGGUACCCAAGGAGGAAGCCCCGGCUAACUACGUGCCAGCAGCCGCGGUAAUACGUAGGGGGCAAGCGUUGUCCGGAAUUAUUGGGCGUAAAGGGCGCGUAGGCGGGCCUUUAAGUCCGGUGUGAAAGAUCAGGGCUCAACCCUGAGAGUGCAUCGGAAACUGGAGGCCUUGAGGACAGGAGAGGAAAGUGGAAUUCCACGUGUAGCGGUGAAAUGCGUAGAUAUGUGGAGGAACACCAGUGGCGAAGGCGACUUUCUGGACUGUAACUGACGCUGAGGCGCGAAAGCGUGGGGAGCAAACAGGAUUAGAUACCCUGGUAGUCCACGCCGUAAACGAUGAGUGCUAGGUGUAGAGGGUAUCGACCCCUUCUGUGCCGCAGUUAACACAAUAAGUACUCCGCCUGGGAAGUACGAUCGCAAGAUUAAAAACUCAAAUGAAUUGACGGGGUCAUAGCUGUUUUCCU